GGGAAGGAACUGCGUCUUUAAAGACCAAGGGAUAUGAAAAUCAGGAAUCACUGCUACUGGUGUGCUAAAGGCCAGAUCAAGAAAAAAGGACAUAGAGGGGGCAGUGACUUACCCACAGCCUAUGGACGUGGCUGCUGGAAUCUCUGCUGGAAUCUGCAGCAUCUACCCUGUGCAUGGGCAGUGUAGGAGUCAGCCUAGAAUUUGAGGGGUGUUUAUAUGCAGAGUUUGGGGUUACCCCUCCAAUGUUCUCUUUCCUGGAAUUUCCAAUCACAUUCUAGCCACUCUGGCAUCCUCAAAAUCCAUCCCCCAAUUCCUCAAACGAAUAUGACAGCAGCUUUCUGCCUGACUUCUAUUUGCCAGCACCUGAUGGACUGGGGAAUACCUCAAGGAAAAAGCCCACAAUGGUUUCUUCUCUCAAGAAUCAAAUCCACAGCAAUUUCUGCUUGCUUCCCAUUGCUCUCCUGUGCCCUCAAGCAACAUUUUAAAAAUAUUUUGUCCAGAAUUUAUAUUUGUUAUUGGUGGAAAUGUUAUUCUGAUACAAGCUGCUCAGUCAUUACUGAAAGCCAGAACUCUCAGAAUGUUUUUGAAAAGAGAAGAAUGAUCAAGUGAGCCUUGUUUUUAUACCUAUUAAAAUUGAUGAUAAAGAUACAGCAAUUAAAACAACUGUGGCACUUGUGUA